UAGCGGAACUCCUACGGGAGGCAGCAGUCGAGAAUCAUUCACAAUGGGGGAAACCCUGAUGGUGCGACGCCGCGUGGGGGAAUGAAGGUCUUCGGAUUGUAAACCCCUGUCAUGUGGGAGCAAAUUAAAAAGAUAGUACCACAAGAGGAAGAGACGGCUAACUCUGUGCCAGCAGCCGCGGUAAUACAGAGGUCUCAAGCGUUGUUCGGAAUCACUGGGCGUAAAGCGUGCGUAGGCUGUUUCGUAAGUCGUGUGGGAAAGGCGCGGGCUCAACCCGCGGACGGCACAUGAUACUGCGAGACUAGAGUAAUGGAGGGGGAACCGGAAUUCUCGGUGUAGCCGUGAAAUGCGUAGAUAUCGAGAGGAACACUCGUGGCGAAGGCGGGUUCCUGGACAUUAACUGACGCUGAGGCACGAAGGCCAGGGGAGCGAAAGGGAUUAGAUACCCGAGUAGUCCACUUAUG
rnacentral:rRNA from 1 species